CAGAAGAAGCACCGGCUAACUCCGUGCCAGCAGCCGCGGUAAUACGGAGGGUGCGAGCGUUAAUCGGAAUUACUGGGCGUAAAGCGCAUGCAGGUCGGUUCGUUAAGUUACAGAUGUGUAAGACCCGGGGCCGUCUAACCUCGGAAUUGCAUUUGAAACUGGCAGACUAGAGUACUGUAGAGGGGGUAGAAUUUCAGGUGUAGCGGUGAAAUGCGUAGAGAUCUGAAGGAAUACCCGGUGGUCGGAAGGACGGGCCCCCGUCCGGACGAGAAUACUGACACUCAGAUGCGAAAGCGUGGGGAGCAAACAGGAUUAGAUACCCUGGUAG
rnacentral:rRNA from 1 species